AAGUCGUAACAAGGUUUCCGUAGGUGAACCUGCGGAAGGAUCAUUAUCGUAGGGCUUCGGCCCUGUCGAGAUAGAACCCUUGCCUUUAUGAGUACCGUCCGUUCCUCCGUCAGGUCCGCGUCGCCUGCUGGACCUGAAACCAAAACCCAAUUUCCAUUUACUUCGUGUCAGUCUGAAAAAAUAAACAAAAAUUAAAA
rnacentral:misc_RNA from 1 species